rnacentral:rRNA from 1 species
UACGUAGGGUGCGAGCGUUAAUCGGAAUUACUGGGCGUAAAGCGUGCGCAGGCGGUUUUGUAAGACAGGCGUGAAAUCCCUGGGCUCAACCUGGGAACUGCGCUUGUGACUGCAAGGCUAGAGUACGGCAGAGGGGGUGGAGUUCACGUGUAGCAGUGAAAUAGCGUAGAGAUGUGGAGGAACACCAAUGGCGAAGGCAGCCCCCUCGGGUCGGAUACUGACGCUCAUGCACGAAAGCGUGGUAGC